rnacentral:rRNA from 1 species
UACGUAGGGGGCUAGCGUUGUCCGGAAUCAUUGGGCGUAAAGCGCGUGUAGGCGGCCCGGUAAGUCCGCUGUGAAAGUCGGGGGCUCAACCCUCGAAUGCCGGUGGAUACUGUCGGGCUCGAGUGCGGAAGAGGCGAGUGGAAUUCCUGGUGUAGCGGUGAAAUGCGCAGAUAUCAGGAAGAACACCCGUGGCGAAGGCGGUUCUCUGGAACGCAACUGACGCUGAGACGCGAAAGCGUGGGAGCAAACAGG